rfam:Heterocephalus glaber contig154665, whole genome shotgun sequence.
AGGGGUGUGGCUCAAUGGUAGAGCACUUGCCUAGCAUGUUCAAGGCCCUGGGUUCUAUCCACAGCACCACAA